rnacentral:rRNA from 1 species
GAUGAACGCUAGCGGCAGGCUUAAUACAUGCAAGUCGAGGGGUAGCAAGAUUGUAGCAAUACAAUUGUUGACGACCGGCAAACGGGUGCGGAACACGUACACAACCUUCCUACAAGUGGGGAAUAGCCCAGAGAAAUUUGGUUUAAUACCCCGUAACAUAGCGAUGUGGCAUCACAUUGCUAUUAUAGCUUCGGCGCUUGUUGAUGGGUGUGCGGCUGAUUAGAUAGUUGGCGGGGUAACGGCCCACCAAGUCUACGAUCAGUAGCUGAUGUGGGACCAGAAUCAGCACCAGUGGCACUGUGAACGGGGCCCGACUCCUACGAGAGGCAGCAGUAAGGAAUAUUGGACAAUGGACGCAAGUCUGAUCCAGCCAUGCAGCGUGAAGGAUUAAGGUCCUCUGGAUUGUAAACUUCUUUUAUAAGGGACGAAAAAAGGUCUUUCUAGAUCGUCUGACGGUACCUUAUGAAUAAGCACCGGCUAACUCCGUGCCAGCAGCCGCCGUAACAC